rnacentral:rRNA from 1 species
UACGUAGGGUGCGAGCGUUUGUCCGGAAUUAUUGGGCGUAAAGGGCUCGUAGGCGGUUUGUCACGUCGGGAGUGAAACUCGGGGCUUAACCCCGAGCCUGCUUCCGAUACGGGCGACUAGAGGUAUGCAGGGGAGAACGGAAUUCCUGGUGUAGCGGUGAAAUGCGCAGAUAUCAGGAGGAACACCGGUGGCGAAGGCGGUUCUCUGGGCCUUACCUGACGCUGAUGCGCGAAAGCCAGGGGAGCAAACGGGG